GGAUUACUGGGCGUAAGCGCGCGUAGGUGGCUUGAUAAGCCGGUUGUGUAAAGCCCCGGGCUCAACCUGGGAACGGCAUCCGGAACUGUCAAGCUAGAGUGCAGGAGAGGAAGGUAGAAUUCCCGGUGUAGCGGUGAAAUGCGUAGAGAUCGGGAGGAAUACCAGUGGCGAAGGCGGCCUUCUGGACUGACACUGACACUGAGGUGCGAAAGCGUGGGUAGCAAACAGGAUUAGAUACCCUGGUAGUCCACGCCGUAAACGAUGUCGACCAGCCGUUGGGUGCCUAGCGCACUUUGUGGCGAAGUUAACGCGAUAAGUCGACCGCCUGGGGAGUACGGCCGCAAGGUUAAAACUCAAAUGAAUUGACGGGGGCCCGCACAAGCGGUGGAGCAUGUGGUUUAAUUCGAUGCAACGCGAAGAACCUUACCUACUCUUGACAUCCUGCGAACUUGUGAGAGAUCACUUGGUGCCUUCGGGAACGCAGAGACAGGUGCUGCAUGGCUGUCGUCAGCUCGUGUUGUGAAAUGUUGGGUUAAGUCCCGUAACGAGCGCAACCCUUGUCCUUAUUUGCCAGCGCGUAAAUGGCGGGAACUCUAAGGAGACUGCCGGUGACAAACCGGAGGAAGGUGGGGACGACGUCAAGUCAUCAUGGCCCUUACGAGUAGGGCUACACACGUGCUACAAUGGUCGGUACAAAAGG
rnacentral:rRNA from 1 species